ensembl:lncRNA
AUAAUAAUAAUUAAUAAAAAUUCCCUUUGGGGGUAAAAAAAAGUACCAUAUGGUGCCAAGAACCUUUGGGCCAUGAGGAUGGUUUAUUAUGGUGGUGGUGAAUGGUGGUGGUGAAACAAAGGUUUUGAAGCCACAAAUCCCAAAAUCCUUGAUCAUUGGCUAUGCUGUCAUGAGCUUCUGGGUGAUAGUCCAAAAUGUUGGAGAGCUAAUUUUCUUUUCUGUUAUUAAGAACCCUAGUGGCAUAGAAUGGGUUGCACUCUACUGCAUUCUGACAAAGACACUGCUUUUCCAUGGUGAUCCUUGUAGGGUCUCACAUAUCAGAUAGAUUUUUGCCAAGAAACUAAAUGUGCCAAAGGGCUACUGGGUAGCAACAAGAGUGGAGGGUGACAUUGGUGGAGUACCUCUCAAAGACAACACUAGCCAAUACAUAUUGUUAGACCUGCUUCAGGUUAUAUUUGACCUGCUGAUUCCAAAAAUGGCACCAGUUUCCCCUAUCAGCUCUAGUUUGUGAGAAACAUAACAUAAGCCAUAUACCAGUCUUCAUUUACUCACCCAUAGAAAACCAUGAUAUCCCAAAAUAAUUUUUUGAAUCAGCACCCCAAAUAACCCCAGGAACAGACCUAAAAAUCACAACAACACUGAGAAAUAGCAUAGUUAAUAUUGUACAGGGCUUGGUACAGUAAAUGAAAACCCUAGAAUCAUAGAAUCAUAGAAUAGUAGAGUUGGAAGAGACCACAUGGGCCAUCCAGUCCAACCCCCUGCUAAGAAGCAGGAAUGAUGAGACAAUCUAAAAUGAAAAAAGAGAUAGUGCCAAAUGAAACUCCCGGGUUAGAUGUCAUUCAAUGAGCUAAUUGGGCAAAGCAAAGGACAAUUACAAGUAACACUGUAAUGAUCAACUCAGCUCAAACGAAAAGGAUGUUCAGCUGUUGACAUGCUCAAAGGUGAAAGGAAAGUCUGAAGCUGCACGAAGUAUAUGGAAUGAGGCACAUCAAAGGAAAUUAGACAUUGUAAAAGAAGAAACACAACAUGUAAACAUUGCACUACCCAAGAUGAGAGAGCUAAAAUGGACAGGAACUGCACAUUUUGUGUCAGAUAAUACACAGUGAUUUACUGAAGAAAUGAAAUUCUGGGAAGAAAUGGGAUAGAACACAGAGAGAUGUAGCAAUAGCAAUCAAAGGAUAUAAUGCAAAGUCUGAAUGAAUCAUAUCAAUAAGACUUAACGGGAAACCCAUCAAUAUAACCAUAAUCCAAGUUUAUCCUCCAACUGCAGAAGAAGAAAUUGAAGGAUUCUAUGCUGGAGACCAGAAGGAAAUUGAUCACGCACCAAAAUAGGACAUUGUUAAUAAUAGGUAGUUAAAAUGCAAGAAUACGAAACCAAGCAGUAUCAAAGUUUGUGGGGAAAUUUGGCCUAGAAUUUAGAAAUGAAGCAGACAAACAACUAAUUGAAUUUUGGGCAUUCUUCAAAGGCAGGUAUCUACAUAGAUGUCAAGAGAUGGCCAAUAUAGAAAACAAACAGAUUACAUAAUUGGAAAAAGAAGAGGAGAAGCUCCAUCCUCUCUGCAAAACCAAAACAGGAGCAGAUGGUAGCACAGACCAUGAACUACUAACACCAAAAAUUGUACCAAAAUACAACCUGAAGAAUGUCUAUUUCUAAGUUCUAAGG